AUACCGAAAUGCAUGGUGGGAAAUCAGUGUGGAAUUCAUUGGCUGUCCCUGCACCGUAAAGUCGGAGCGCCACCCGGUAUAGCCCGCUGUUGAACGAAGGCCAGGAAAAGUCUAGUUCUGCAAUGCAAAA
rnacentral:ncRNA from 10 species